AUGAGCCCGACUGCACCAGACGCCGUGGCUUAUUCCAACACCGGCAUCCUCAAGACAGCGAAGCAGGAGGAGAGAGCCAGUAAGGUGGAGGAGACCCUGCCCGGGCUCCGACACUUGGAAGCUGCCCUGGCAGAGUGCUCCAAAGGGGAGGUGGAGGCGCCGUUCUUCGGUGGUGGCUCCAUCGGGUUCCUCGACAUCGCACUCGGGUGCUAUCUUCCUUGGUUUGAGGCAGUAGGCCGCCUGGCCGGCUUGGGGCCGCUCAUCGACCCGGCGAGGACGCCGAAACUAGCAGCAUGGGCGGAGCGGUUCAGGGUCGCCGAGCCGGUCAAGGCGCUGCUGCCUAGGGUGGACGAGCUGGAGGAGUACAUCGCUACGGUGCUUUAUCCAAAGUGGAACGUCACGGUCACCGGUAACUAA
rnacentral:rRNA from 1 species